rnacentral:rRNA from 1 species
GAUGAACGCUGGCGGCGUGCCUAAUACAUGCAAGUCGAGCGAACGGACGAGAAGCUUGCUUCUCUGAUGUUAGCGGCGGACGGGUAAGUAACACGUGGAUAACCUACCUAUAAGACUGGGAUAACUUCGGGAAACCGGAGCUAAUACCGGAUAAUAUUUUGAACCGCAUGGUUCAAAAGUGAAAGACGGUCUUGCUGUCACUUAUAGAUGGAUCCGCGCUGCAUUAGCUAGUUGGUAAGGUAACGGCUUACCAAGGCAACGAUGCAUAGCCGACCUGAGAGGGUGAUCGGCCACACUGGAACUGUGACACGGUCCAGACUCCUACGGGAGGCAGCAGUAGGGAAUCUUCCGCAAUGGGCGAAAGCCUGACGGAGCAACGCCGCGUGAGUGAUGAAGGUCUUCGGAUCGUAAAACUCUGUUAUUAGGGAAGAACAUAUGUGUAAGUAACUGUGCACAUCUUGACGGUACCUAAUCAGAAAGCCACGGCUAACUACGUG